rnacentral:misc_RNA from 1 species
AACGCACAUUGCACCCGGCGGUAUUCCGCCGGGUAUGCCCGUCCGAGUGUCAUUUCAAAACCCUCGGGUAUACUAUAUCCGGUGUUGGGGGACCGCGCGUCCGGCGCGGCUCCUUAAAUAUAAAGGCGGCGCUGCUAGAGUUUCCGUGCGUAGUAUAUAAACAUCUCAUUGAAAACAUAGCGGGGCUUGCUUAGAACCUAUUUUAGCAGUUUGACCUCGGAUCGGGUAGGAAUACCCGCUGAACUUAA